rnacentral:lncRNA from 1 species
GAGCAUUUUAACCCUCAGUAGUGAGCACACAGAGAUAUUCCUUCAGCAUACCAUACUGCCAUAGAGUGAUGGAGGAAUGACACCAGUAAUUUGAGACCUCUUCAGUGGCUCUGUGAUACAAAGUUAAAACCAGGUCUGCUGCAGUUUGCGGGAGGUCCACUCCAGACCCUGUUUGCCUGGGUGUCACCAGUGGAGGCUGCAGAACAGAAAGGAUUGCCACCUGCUCCUUCCUCUGGAAGCUUCAUCCCAGAGGGACACUGGCCUGAUGCCAGCCACAGCUCUCCUGUACAAGGUGUCUGUCUACUCCUGUUUGGUGGUAUCUCCCAGUUAGGAGUCAUGGGUGUCAGGGACCUACUUGAGCAGGUAGUCUGUCCCUUAGCAGAGCUGGAGCACUGUGCUGGGAGAAUCCUUCUUGACAGAUGCUGCUCUCUUCAGAGAUGGCAGGCAAGAAUAUUUAAGUAUGCUGUUGCUGGGCACAUAGCCAGCCCUUUCCCCAUGUGCUCUUUUUCCACGGAGAUGGGAGUUUGUCUAUAAUCCCUUGAAUGGGGCUACUGCCUUUCUUUCAGAGAUGCCCUCCCUAGUGAGGAGGAAUCUAGAGAGUCAGUCUGGCCACAGCCGCUUUGACAUGCUUUGGUGAAUUCUGCCCAGUAUGAACUUCCUAGCCUCCUUAGCACUGUCAGGGGAAAACUGUCUACUCCAUCCUCAGUAAUGGUGGAUGCCUCUUCCCCAACCAAGCCUGAUCAUCCCAGGUUGACUUCAUGCUGCUCUGUUGGCAGCAAGAAUUUCAAGCCAGUGGUUCUUAGGGUGCUGACUCCAUGGGAGUGGGACCCACUGAGCAAGACCACUUGGCUCUCUGGCUUUAGCCCUCUUUCCAGGGGAGUAAAUGGUUCUCUCACUGGGGUUCCAGGUUCCACUGGGAAAAACAAACAGACAGACAAACAAACAGCAACAACAAAAACAAAAAAGCUGAAGCUAGCUUGGUGUCUACAGCCACCCAGUUUUAUGCUUGAAACCGAGGGCCCUGGUGGUGUAAGCACACAAGGGAAUUUUCUGCUCUCUAGAUUGAAGAUCCCAUGGGAAAACUGUAGUAUCUGGGCCAGGUAGCACAGUGUUUCAUGGCUUCCUUGGUAGGGCAGAGAUUGGUUCCUGGCUUCUUGUACUUCUCUGGUGAGAUAAUGCCCUCUCUUGCUUUCUGCUCACUGUCCAUAGGCUUCGCCCACUGCCUAAACAUUCCCAAUGAGAUUAACUGGGUACCUCCUUUGUAAAUGUAGAGAUUAUCCAUUCACUUUCUGCAUUGGUCUCAAUGGAAGCAGCAAACUGGAGCUGUUCCUAUGUGGCCAUCUUGUCAGAUCUCCCUGUAAUUCUUGUCUUAUUAAAUUGUCUUAACAGAAUUAUCCACUGACAAUGUCAAUGUAUCAGAAAUAUAUGAGUUUAUUUAUUUGUUAAUUUUUCAUUCAACUACAUAUUUCUUUGUGUACACACUUUGAGUAGUUCUUCAUUUAAAUAAUUGUAGUUAUUUAGUAAUACUUAGUAAUAUUAGCAGUAAAGAAAUAUGAACAAGAGUUUCUUUUCUUCUCAACAAUUUUGGCUAACCA